rnacentral:rRNA from 1 species
UCGCACGAGAAAGGGUAGCAAUACCUGGAGUAAAGUGGCGCACGGGUGAGUAACACGUGAAUAAUCUACCUCCGAGUGGGGAAUAACUGAGAGAAAUCUUAGCUAAUACCGCAUAACACUUACGAGUCAAAGCAGCAAUGCGCUUGGAGAGGAGUUCGCGGCCGAUUAGUUAGUUGGCGGGGUAAUGGCCCACCAAGACGAUGAUCGGUAUCCGGCCUGAGAGGGCGCACGGACACACUGGAACUGAAACACGGUCCAGACUCCUACGGGAGGCAGCAGUGGGGAAUUUUGCGCAAUGGGGGAAACCCUGACGCAGCAACGCCGCGUGGAGGAUGAAAUAUCUUGGUAUGUAAACUCCUUUCGAUGGGGAAGAUUAUGACGGUACCCGUAGAAGAAGCCCCGGCUAACUUCGUGCCAGCAGCCGCGGUAAUACGAGGGGGGCAAGCGUUGUUCGGAUUUAUUGGGCGUAAAGGGUGCGUAGGCGGUUUGAUAAGUCUGAUGUGAAAUCUAUGGGCUCAACCCAUAGUCUGCAUUAGAAACUGUCGGGCUUGAGUAUGGGAGAGGUGAGUGGAAUUUCCGGUGUAGCGGUGAAAUGCGUAGAUAUCGGAAGGAACACCUGUGGCGAAAGCGGCUCACUGGACCAUAACUGACGCUGAUGCACGAAAACUAGGGGAGC